UCCGGCUUAUCACCGGCAGUCCCCUUAGAGUGCCCAACUAAAUGAUGGCAACUAAGGGCGAGGGUUGCGCUCGUUGCGGGACUUAACCCAACAUCUCACGACACGAGCUGACGACAGCCAUGCAGCACCUGUCACCGGCCAAUUGAAGAACUCCGUCUCCGGAGCCCCGACCGGGAAGUCAAGAGCUGGUAAGGUUCUUCGCGUUGCAUCGAAUUAAGCCACAUACUCCACCGCUUGUGCAGGCCCCGUCAAUUUCUUUGAGUUUUAAUCUUGCGACCGUACUUCCCAGGCGGCACGUUUAUCGCGUUAGCUUCGCCACAAAAGGGGUCGAUUCCUUUUACAGCAAACGUGCGCCGUUUACAGCCAGGACUAC
rnacentral:misc_RNA from 1 species